GUGUCAGCAGCCGCGGUAAUACGGAGGGGGCGAGCGUUGUUCGGAAUCAUUGGGCGUAAAGGGCGCGUAGGCGGCCUUGCAAGUCGGGUGUGAAAUCCCUCGGCUCAACCGAGGAACCGCACUCGAUACUGCCGGGCUAGAGUCCGGGAGGGGAUGGUGGAAUUCCCAGUGUAGCGGUGAAAUGCGUAGAUAUUGGGAAGAACACCGGUGGCGAAGGCGGCCAUCUGGACCGGUACUGACGCUGAGGCGCGAAAGCUAGGGGAGCGAAUGGGAUUAGAAACCCCAGUAGUCC
rnacentral:rRNA from 1 species